rnacentral:rRNA from 1 species
UAGCAAGGUUAAGCACUUAAUGUGCGGAGCCGUAGCGAAAGCGAGUUUUAAUGGAGCGUUCAGUUACUUUACGUAGACCCGAAGCCGGGCGACCUACCCAUGAGCACGAUGAAGCGAAAGUAAAAUUGCGUGGCGGUCCGAACCCACGAGCGUUGAAAAGCUCGGGGAUGACUUGUGGUUAGCUGUGAAAUUCCAAUCGCGCCCGGAGAUAGCUGGUUCUCCCCGAAAUAGCUUUAGGGCUAGCCUCAAGGUGAGAGAUACGGAGGUAGAGCACUGAAUGUCCUAGGGGGUAUUGCACCUACCGAAGACUAUCAAACUCCGAAUGCCGUCAUCUUAUACUUGGGAGUCAGACUGUGGGUGAUAAGAUUCAUAGUCGAAAGGGCAACAGCCCAGAUCGUCAGCUAAGGUCCCUAAAUGUAAGUUAAGUGGUAAAGGAUGUGGGAUUGCACAGACAACCAGGAUGUUGGCUUAGAAGCAGCCACUCAUUCAAAGAGUGCGUAAUAGCUCACUGGUCGAGUGAUCCUGCGCCGAAGAUUUCCGGGGCUAAAACUUACUACCGAAGCUACGGCAUCAGUAAUGAUGGGUAGGGGAGCU